GGGUCGGCGCCGUCGCCAUUUUGCUGCGGGCCUCGUGGGCGCGUCCCGCGUGGGCCGGCGCCCUCGCGCCUUCUGCCGAAUGCCGGGUGCGAGGGUUUGUGGGACACGAGAGCCGGCUCUUCCAGAGCAGCGUCGCGCGGCCAUUCUGUGGCUCCCAGGGUUCCCUGAUUGCCGUGCCUGGCCCUUGUCCCAUUGUCCUCAGAGUCAACAGAACCACAGUCCUCACCGACCGCAGUGCCCUGUAGCUGUGCUGCCUGGCGCAUUGCUCUGGGGACUGCGUGCCCCCCGAGCCCCCGUAUGUUAGAAGUUGUAUGGUUUUGCUGUGAGGAGCGGUUUUCCUUGGAACGGGCUGCCUGCCUAUCUUGAACCUCAUCCCUGAGACGCGCCCGCCUCUGCCUCCAGGAUGCUGAGAUUGAAGGCGUGCACCAUCACCGCCAGGCGUGUUUCACGACGCUGAGGAUGGAGCCUCCUUAGUGGAGGGCCUGGCUGGGGGGGUUCCCGGUCGUGUGCUUGUGCCAGCCACUCCAGUUCCUCCUGAGGAGUCUCAGUUCCUGCUACUCCGUGAGGGCACUCCAUGUUGGCUUCUUCUGAGUGUAGCCUCAGACUGAGGGGAGGCAGGAAUUUAAGGGGCACUACGGGGACUUCUAUAGCUUAAUCCCACAAAAGCCAUCGCUUCUGGCCUGCUCUGUUGGCCACACCUGCCCCUGUGGUAUCCAGGAAACAGCUGUUGGCUCCGGAGAGUCAUCAAACUUAAAAGAUGAGGAAUCCAAUGGCCUCCACUCUCCAUCUUCAGUUGUGGCCCAGUUAUUUUACACAAGCACGCAUACCCUCUGGCUAUACAUCAAUCUGAAGCAAACCAAGUGUUCUUUCAAGCUCAUUUAUUUUUAUCUCUAAGGAAGAUGGAUUUGCAAUAUCAUUACCCUACAUCCAGGUAGCUGCUCUUCUAUGCAGAACUAUUCUAAAACAAAAAGCCACGUGACUAUCCCCACUCUUACUGUAUGAUGAAUUUGGCUGGCCUUCCACCUACACACAGGUGUGCCCAACGAAGUGUGUCAAGCUGGCUUUUCAGGAGGCUCAUGGUCCUCCAACUGGAUGAGCCUGGUUUAUUGAGCUCUGUGCCACCCACAAUUCCCUGGUUUGACGCUCAAAGUACAAAUCUUCCAAAGCU
rnacentral:lncRNA from 1 species